rnacentral:rRNA from 1 species
GGGGAAUAUUGCACAAUGGAGGAAACUCUGAUGCAGCGACGCCGCGUGAGUGAAGAAGUAUUUCGGUAUGUAAAGCUCUUUCGGCAGGGAAGAUAAUGACGGUACCUGCAGAAGAAGCACCGGCUAAAUACGUGCCAGCAGCCGCGGUAAUACGUAUGGUGCAAGCGUUAUCCGGAUUUACUGGGUGUAAAGGGGGCGCAGGUGGCCAGGCAAGUCAGAAGUGAAAGCCCGGGGCUCAACCCCGGGACUGCUUUUGAAACUGUCCGGCUGGAGUGCAGGAGAGGUGAGUGGAAUUCCCAGUGUAGCGGUGAAAUGCGGAGAUAUUGGGAAGAACACCAGUGGCGAAGGCGGCUCACUGGACUGUAACUGACACUGAGGCCCGAAAGCGUGGGGAGCAAAC